rnacentral:rRNA from 1 species
AGAGUUUGAUCCUGGCUCAGAACGAACGCUGGCGGCAGGCUUAACACAUGCAAGUCGAGCGCCCCGCAAGGGGAGCGGCAGACGGGUGAGUAACGCGUGGGAAUCUACCCAUCUCUACGGAAUAACUCAGGGAAACUUGUGCUAAUACCGUAUACGCCCUUAGGGGGAAAGAUUUAUCGGAGAUGGAUGAGCCCGCGUUGGAUUAGCUAGUUGGUGGGGUAAAGGCCUACCAAGGCGACGAUCCAUAGCUGGUCUGAGAGGAUGAUCAGCCACAUUGGGACUGAGACACGGCCCAAACUCCUACGGGAGGCAGCAGUGGGGAAUAUUGGACAAUGGGCGCAAGCCUGAUCCAGCCAUGCCGCGUGGGUGAUGAAGGCCCUAGGGUUGUAAAGCCCUUUCGGCGGGGAAGAUAAUGACGGUACCCGCAGAAGAAGCCCCGGCUAA